rnacentral:rRNA from 1 species
UCAUUAAGUGAAUACAUAGCUUAAUGAGGGGAACUCAGGGAACUGAAACAUCUAAGUACCUGAAGGAAGAGAAAGAAAUUCGAUUCCGUAAGUAGCGGCGAGCGAACGCGGAUUAGCCCAAACCAAUAAAGUUUUCUUUAUUGGGGUUGCGGACAUAGCAUAACGAAGAGGUAUCGUAAUUGAAGAGGUUUGGAAAGACCCACCACAGAAGGUAAUAGUCCUGUAUGUUAAACGAGAAGACUU